rnacentral:lncRNA from 1 species
UGAAUACUUUUGUAGACCUCACCGACUAGUUUUGGUGCUCUUCGAGUACUCCAUCGAGUUGAGUCUUCAAACAUACUCGAGCACUGCCAUGUGGCUAGAAUGUGCUCAAGCCUCAUUUAACAUGAUUUUGAAUCAUUCAAUCUUGAAUUUUUAUAUGGAAGUGUGAUAAAAAGUCGCAUUCCAUAUAGAGUAGCAUCUGAGCCUUAGGUUGAAUCAAAGAAUCAGGCUGAGAAUCAAUAUGUAAUUUGCAUCUCUUUUCCCUUAAAAUCUAGAGAGAAAAAAUUUAGCUGAUAGGCAUGUGGCACACAGCCCUCGAGCCGUUACACGACUAGUUUGGUAGGUAAAAGGGUCAACCUUUGGUUAACGUGACCAUCUAUCGAUAAUAAUCUUAUCUCUUCCGAAAAUAAUGGUAACUGCUAAUCAGGUGCAAAAUCUUCGGAUCCAUUAAAACCUAAAUAUUCCUUUAUUCCCGCCACCGUUACUGUGCCGCAGUUAUAAAUAACGGGGGAAAACAUUCCGUUUGUUUUACCUUUGCCAUCUGCUCUUUGUAACGCCCGUAAAAAUCUACCAAAUUAAAUCACUCGUUAAAAAGGCACUCCAAAAUCUUUCCGACCGUUGAGCCCGUCAAAUCUUUUCCUUUCCGUCGAAUUCGCCGUCCCGGCCCCGACGUCGUGGACCCUCUUUUACCGUUCCCCGUAUUUCUCGCCGCGUGCCCGUCAAAUCCAUCACGCGUGCCGUCAAAUCCUGUAAUUCCCGCCGUCUCCCUCUUUUCCCUUCUCCCCUUUUUCCCUCUCUUUCUUCCUUCUUUUUCUUUCCCAUUUCCUUCUUCCUUCUCCUUUUCCUCUUUCCUCUCUCUCUCUCUCCUUCUUCUUC